AAAAAAGCCAACAUGGCCGACGACUCGCGAUUGGUUUUUGUUUUCCCGCGAAAAAACGGGGCCUCGUCAAAGUUAACCUAACCUGACCUGUUGUUUGUGCAUGUUUCGCGUUACAAUAAAAAUAGGCGUCUGUAUAAAAGACUUGUAGUUAGCGAGCAAUAAUAACGAUGGAGGGGUUUGAUCGGCCAGAUACAUUCUUUGUGGAACAUUUUUCGACCGAAGAACCGGACGAUGGAAAGCAGCUAAAAUUAAAACAGUGCAAACAGAAGUUCAAGGAGUUUAUCCGGCAAUUUCACGAGGGCAAUUUUAACUACAAAUAUCGGGACGCCUUGAAACGGAACUAUAAUUUGGGUCGGUAUUGGGUCGAAGUGAAUCUCGAGGACUUGGCUGCAUUCGAUGAAUCCCUCGCAGAGAAAAUAUAUAAACAGCCCCUUGAUUAUUUACCAGUUUUCGAGGAGGCUGCCACUGAUGUUGCUGACGAACUCACCGCACCUAGACCUCAGGAUGAAGAAAAGGUCGAGGACAUUCAGGUUCUCCUUUCAUCCGAUGCAAACGCUACUCCUUUCAGGGGGAUGAAGCACGAUGUUGUCUCCAAGCUCGUUAAAGUACCUGGAAUCGUAAUAUCUGCGUCAGGAAUCAGGGCAAAGGCGACAAGAAUCGCGAUACAAUGUCGAACCUGCAGAAACGUCGUGCCUGACAUAGCCAUUCAACCAGGCUUUGAGGGUUACCAAAUGCCACGGAAAUGCAACACUCAGCAGACAGGAACAGCCUUAAAGUGCCCGUUGGAUCCGUACUUCAUAAUACCAGACAAGUGCCGAUGCGUCGACUUCCAGGUGCUAAAGCUGCAAGAAUUACCGGACAAUAUUCCCCAGGGUGAAGUGCCCAGGCACUUGCAGCUCUAUUGCGACCGCUAUUUGUGCGAAAGAGUUGUGCCAGGAAACAGAGUCCUCAUACUCGGCAUUUAUUCGAUAAAGAAAAUCGAUAAGACUGGAGGACGACGCGAAACAAGGAACAAGGCAGCAGUAGGCGUUCGAGCGCCGUAUAUCAGAGUCGUGGGGAUUUCCGUGGACGGUGACAACACUGGAAGUGGUACGCAAGCGCCGUUUACCGCGGCCGAGGAGGACGUGUUUCGCCGUCUGGCUGCCGAUCCUGAAAUCUAUGAUAGGAUAUCGAGAAGCAUUGCGCCGAGCAUUUUCGGCGCUGAGGACAUGAAGAAGGCCAUCGGCUGUCUGCUCUUCGGCGGCUCGAGAAAGAAAAUGCCCGACGGCUUGUGCCGCAGGGGCGACAUCAACAUUCUCAUGCUCGGCGAUCCUGGAACGGCCAAAUCCCAGCUCCUAAAAUUCGUUGAACGCGUUGCUCCCGUCGCCGUUUACACUUCAGGAAAGGGUAGUUCGGCCGCAGGUCUCACCGCGUCCGUUACGCGCGAUCCAUCGACGAGAAAUUUCGUCAUGGAAGGUGGAGCGAUGGUGUUGGCCGAUGGUGGAGUCGUCUGUAUAGACGAGUUCGAUAAGAUGAAGGAGGAUGACAGAGUCGCGAUUCACGAGGCGAUGGAACAGCAAACAAUAUCGAUAGCGAAAGCUGGGAUAACGACGACCCUGAAUUCGCGAUGCUCGGUUCUUGCCGCAGCCAAUUCGAUAUUUGGCAGAUGGGACGACACCAAGGGCGAGGAGAACAUCGACUUCAUGCCUACCAUAUUGUCCAGAUUCGACAUGAUCUUUAUUGUCAAAGAUGAACACGAUCAGGCCAAGGAUAUCACACUGGCUAAGCACGUGAUGAAAAUACACACCAACGCCGGUCAGAUCACCGAGCAACAAGCUGACGGCGAAUUAUCAUUGAACCUAAUCAAGAAAUACAUUCAUUACUGCCGAACGAAAUGCGGCCCAAGAAUAAGCAAGGAAGCUGGCGAGAAGUUGAAGAAUCGUUAUGUUAUGAUGCGCAGCGGUACUAGGGAGCACGAAAAAGACACCGAAAAGCGACCGUCCAUACCAAUAACCGUUCGUCAGCUCGAAGCCAUCAUCAGAAUAACGGAAUCUCUUGCUAAAAUGAGGCUACAGUCGUUUGCCACCGAAAAUCACGUCAACGAGGCCCUCAGGCUCUUUCAAGUGUCGACGCUGGAUGCUGCCAUGAGCGGAUCUUUGGAUGGAGCGGAAGGCUUUACAACGGACGAGGAGCACGAGAUGUUGACGCAGAUUGAGAAACAACUGAAACGGCGUUUCGCUAUCGGAUCUCAAGUGUCUGAGCAGAAUAUCGUUGCUGAUUUCACCAAACAAAAAUAUCCCGAACGCGCAAUCUACAAAGUUAUUCACACGAUGAUAAGACGCGGCGAACUACAGCAUCGCAUGCAGCGAAAAAUGCUCUACAGGCUUUCUUAAACUACACGCCAUUAGAGAGAUGCACACAGAGACGGGGUCCGUGUUUAGAUCCAGCUUGUAAAAACCGUCUGGAUCAAUCGUCGGAGCGUAUCCAUUGGGGUCCUUAACAAAUGCAAAUGGCAUGUGGAUCAAGUACAUGUCUAAGUAAUCAAGUUGUAGCUUUUCCAAUGACAAUUUGAUGAACUUCUCAACGUCGCCUGGUCUGUUUCCGUAAUGGGGGAGCUGCAAAAUAAUUUCAAACUAUGGAAAUAUCGAAGUGGCGUAGCCGCAGACGUCCAUGAAUGUCCCGUACUCCACCACGUGUCGCAAAAUUUUUUGUGUUACAAUUUACCGAGAAGACGUAACACAAUCACCUGCCAUGUCCCAAGUCCGACUGUCGGAAUCUCGAAGUUCGAUGACAACCGUAUAUUUUGCAUCGCUGUUGCAGCCGCCGGUAUUCCCUUCGAAUAAUGCAGUGAUAGGACAGCGGAUAACCCGAUUCCAAGUCCGGAAGUAUUCCUCCUGAAAAACGUGUUGCAUAACUCGAUUAUUUUUAGCCACGCUGGGCUUGUGCAAAAAAUUAUAUGUAUGUCUGUUCAACAUAGGAGGGUAUGCAAUUUAAUUUGUACCUAAAUCAAUAAGCGUUUCAGCUUCGAUUUAAAUGACGAUGGACAGUAGGAUCGGUUAAUCACCGUUUUGUUGCCUACGCGAUUUACCAGGCAACGAUUGCGAUUUAUACCGGUUACUAAGUAUUGUUUAAAUAACAUUCAAACUACGUUGAUCAAUCUGCUUGUUCUAUUGCGGAUUCUGCGUUCCGUUAAGCGCUAUUUUUAACCAUCGUAAAAGUUUGAUGUUUGCGUUUGACUAAGUUUUGAAAUACUGGCGCCGCGCCAGUCCCUGACGUUUAACGGUUCGUCACGUCGACGACAGAUGGCGGGUGAAACAAAUUGCACUGCCAGUCUUGCUCUGCGCCGUGACUGGUUCAGGAAACACGCUUAGCCAAUCAUAGUACAGAGCAUUAGGUGCUACUUCCAUGGGUAGUGUUAAAAAAGCUCAAUGAUAUAUCAGCGAGAGGGAAAAACUGCGAAUUACGUAAAGUUUUCUUCAACGCGUGAAUUUGAUUUUUCUUUUUAACGGAUUCGACAAUAGCAAUUUCAAUUGGAAAACAAAGCGAGACGCUUGAAAAGAAGUAACCAAAUUCGGAUCGUACACACCACAUUCUGUUCGAGAUGCGGUAAAUCAUCGUCAGCUAUUCGAAAGAACCUUCGCCAAGACCCAACUCCCGAGGUUAUGUUUCACGUCAUUCCGGUUUGACUGGAUAUCCUCUUUGAAAUCAACCAUGUCGAACUUCAGCCACUUCCUAAGGGCACAUCGGUUCGAAAUCAUCGCUUGCCCGGUUUUGGCUAUUGAAUUUUACAUAUGGUGGCGAAUGCAGCAGAGCGAACAUUGGGGCAGUAAACGGGAGCCAAGUGCAGGUGUAACUUCCUUGCAAUUUGCUAAAAAUAUGUCAAACGAAUCGCCGACCAAGGAAAGUGACUUGAAAAAAGCGCUUGAUUCGCCAAAGAGUUGAUCGAAAUACGUAUCCGCGUAUCGAGGCUUCUUGUAAAUGAUCCAUGUAGUUUGAUUCGUCGAUUCUAAUCUUCUCUCACCUCUCCAUGUAAGCAGGUUUAAUACAUCAUUUUAAUAAACAGUUGACCCAAUGUCAUAAGAA
rnacentral:misc_RNA from 1 species